rnacentral:miRNA from 1 species
AAAUUAUAUAUAUGUAUAUAUGUAUACACACACACAUAUAUAUGUAUAUGUAUAUAUGUAUAUACACGUAUGUUUUGUGUAUGGGUGUGUAUCUG